AAUCUCACACGCAGAAAAAUAUUUUGUAGAAUCAGCCUGUACGAGGUUUGAUUCAACAAAUUUUUUGUUGAAUAUAAUCAACGCCGAUUUUGCGUUGAAACAAACCUUGAUUUUCUCAAUUCCACAAAAAUCUUUUGUUGUUUUGAAGAAGCUGCUUUGACGUUAAGCGUUGUUUCAACAAAAAUCUUGAUUUUCAAAUCAUCAAAACGUUUUGUUGAUUCAAAUAUGCCUUAUUUUUCUGCGUGCAUCAAAAUGUUUGAUUUCAAAUGACAUUAGAAAAAAAAAAUCAAAACAUCAUUGCCAAGCGGAAAAUGUCAACCAUCAACAGACAUGAGAAAUUUCCCGGUUAGUUCAACUAAUUUGGCGAAUACUGUAGGAGAAACUCCAGGGGAUGUAGGAAUUCGGAGAGCUUCGACGAUUAGUCCGGUUUACCAAGAUGCCGACAACAAUCACGAUGCGUCCGAUUAACGAAGUCGAUGAAAAUGACGGUGUCGAAUCAAUCGAGCCAAGAAGUCCGACGCCCUCGUGUCAGAGAAGAAACACAAUAAUCGAAACAUUAUUGUUUAAAAAAAAUAAAGGUUGAGUUUUUGAAGCUAAAA